CUUGCUUUCACUUCCAGGUGAAACAAAAUGGUGGCCACUUUUGCAUCAGGAUUUUUGGCUUCUGUUGAUGGUUCUACUAUUGCUGUUUCUCAUUUUGCUUCUGAUAUUGUUUCAGUAUCUUUUUCACCCGUAUCUUCUUUGCCUGGUUCUCAGACCUCUGUUGAAGGUUCUACUUUUGGGAAGCUGCUGAUAAUUUGACUUUGACUGGGGUAAUUAUAUGAAACUACAGGAUCAUUCUCAGACUUGUACUGCUUCAGUAUCUGCUGUUUAACUCCCCCAAUGGAGAAGCCGAAUACUUCUGCUAGUUGCCAUAGCUUCUGUUGCCACUACUGUUGUAUCUAAAGCUAAAUCCUAUGCUGCUGUGGUGAAAAAGGCACUUUCUGCUUCUGGCAGUCGACUUUGGUCUAAUAGACAGUCGAGGAUUUUUUCUAAACUAUUGGUGCAUUUGAAGUUUGCUUCAGGUCAGCCUUUAUCACGUAGAGGUGGAGCAUGGCCGCUCCUGCUUGAAAAGGUAGAACUCUACUGGCAACUGCGACUUGGAGCACAGAUUUGGCCAGGUUUAAAUGAAGCCGAAUCUUUGGGAUGAAAUGCUGGGAAGAUUGCAAGAAAACAUAUUUAAAUUUGCACAUGACUCAAGAACUGAGGACAACAUCAUAUCUUACUUAGUGAUCCUCACAAACGCACAUUAUCGACGGAAGACUGAGCUUAUCAUGUUGCUUUCAAUUUUACCAAAGCAAGGAAUUUCCAUGGAUUGGCAGAAGCCUUCUGCCAUCUGCUUCCAGUAAGUGGCUUUGUGUAUCAAGGUUCCAGAGAAGCCUGGCUAAAGGCUAUAAUGUGAGCCAUAUCAAAUAUUACUAAAUAUUACUAUGCAUAGUAUAGGAUAACCACCAUACAAAGUAUUAUUGUUUUUGGAGGAAAUAUUCAGAGAAACCAUAGGCCCAUAGCAGUGCAACAAGUUAUUAUGUAAGAAUAAGUAAAAGUGUCCAGCUGGCAAAGGGAGACCACCAAAAAACCCAGACCUUAUUAUAUUUUACUUUGCAGAUAAAGGACAACUGUGUUUGAUUGAUUCUGACUUACCAACAUGAUAGGAACAUUUAAAAGCACCUCUAGAGCCUUAUGAUAAUGUGCACUGGCAGAGAUACCCUUGCAUUACCGAUUCAGAAAUGAAAUACUAUGAAGAUAAACUUGCAAAUGCUGCAAGUCCACAGAUUCAUACAACAACAUAAAUGCUUUGAUUAAACAGUUUUGUUUAAAAAUUUA